UAUGGCUGUGUGUCUGUGUCUCUGUGCGUCUGUGUCUCUGUGUGUCUCUGUCUGUGUGUCUCUGUGUCUGUGUGUCUGUGUGUGUCUGUGUGUCUGUGUCUGCUUCAGAGUGUUUCCAGAGCAGAUUGUCAGCCCCUUGAAGGACGGCCAGGCCCUCGCAAGGAGAGAAGUUGGGUGGUCCUGACAGGACCUGGUUUGGGUGGCUUUGAGUUUUUACUCCGAGGUGGUCCCCCUUGCCCUUUCUUUCCUUUUAUUUUGAACUUCCUUCUCUUUUCUUUUAACUUUAAAGAGUGGAGCUAGCAUUUGACUUAGAGAGGGGCCGGCCCAGGCCCUGCAGCCGGUCAUAAGAUACCGGGUCACGUGCAAGCGCCAGGCUGUGAAGAAACCGCCAGCUUCCAGCGUGUCCUGCCUGAGCCUUUGGACUUUGACAUGUGUGUGGAGUUGCUUUUUUGGAGCAUUUGUAGCCCCAGUUAGUGGUGAGGGUUGUAGGAGCACUUGUACUCCCAGUUAGUGGUGAGGAUUGUAGGAGCAUGUGUAGCCCCAGUUAGUGGUGAGGGUUGUAGGAGCACGUGUAGCCCCAGUUAGUGGUGAGGGUUGUAGGAGCACGUGUAGCCCCAGUUAGUGGUGAGGGUUGUAGGAGCACGUGUAGCCCCAGUUAGUGGUGAGGGUUGUAGGAGCACGUGUAGCCCCAGUUAGUGGUGAGGGUUGUAGGAGCACGUGUAGCCCCAGUUAGUGGUGAGGGUUGUAGGAGCACGUGUAGCCCCAGUUAGUGGUGAGGGUUGUAGGAGCACGUGUAGCCCCAGUUAGUGGUGAGGGUUGUAGGAGCACGUGUAGCCCCAGUUAGUGGUGAGGGUUGUAGGAGCACGUGUAGCCCCAGUUAGUGGUGAGGGUUGUAGGAGCACGUGUAGCCCCAGUUAGUGGUGAGGGUUGUAGGAGCACGUGUAGCCCCAGUUAGUGGUGAGGGUUGUAGGAGCACGUGUAGCCCCAGUUAGUGGUGAGGGUUGUAGGAGCACGUGUAGCCCCAGUUAGUGGUGAGGGUUGUAGGAGCACGUGUAGCCCCAGUUAGUGGUGAGGAUUGUAGGAGCACGUGUAGCCCCAGUUAGUGGUGAGGAUUGUAGGAGCACAUGUAGCCCCAGUUAGUGGUGAGGAUUGUAGGAGCACGUGUAGCCCCAGUUAGUGGUGAGGGUUGUAGGAGCACGUGUAGCCCCAGUUAGUGGUGAGGGUUGUAGGAGCACGUGUAGCCCCAGUUAGUGGUGAGGAUUGUAGGAGCACGUGUAGCCCCAUUAGUGGUGAGGGUUGUAGGAGCACGUGUAGCCCCAGUUAGUGGUGAGGAUUAUAGGAGCACGUGUAGCCCCAGUUAGUGGUGAGGGUUGUAGGAGCAUGUGUAGCCCCAGUUAGUGGUGAGGGCAUACGCCGGAAGGUCAUGCCCGUGCCAGAACUAAUACUUUCAGAAUUGGCUUUCUCGUGUAACAGAAGUUGGGGUGCAGCCGCGGUGUCACGACUGGGAUCUCAGUGAGAGGUGUGCAGGGAGGGAGCCCCCUCGGGCUUCUGGAGGUCAGACGCUCGCAGUUCAGGCAUCUGUCUCGCUCGGGCUCGCUCUGGGGUAGGUGGAGAGCCCCGUUCCCCAGGGACAGCUGGUUCCGCCGCUCCUCUCAGCGGAUGAGAAGUAGCUUUCCAAGCAGUGUGAGUAGUUCACGUUGCCACCGAGGCAGAGUGCCUGCUUCAGCAGUGCUGUGCUCAGUCAUCACCGCGGAGCAGUGGGGCAGACUCGCUCUCUGGGAAGCUGUGGAGGGCUGUCUCCUUAACACCCGAGCUUUCGGGAGUGUGGUGGGCAGGUCAUGGGCAGAAAGAACUUGACGUGAUGUGACGUGAGUGCUGCUGCGGGGCUGGGACCCAGGCGAGGCCGUGGUUCACGCCUAGCAGCCGUGAGCAGGGUACCCAGGAUACCCCUGCGUCUGGCAGCUCGUGCUUAGGAAUGCCUGGUUCUCACGAGCGACGCGCCGCGUGCCUUCGGAGCCCUUCCUAGUCCUGUGACCUCCGAGAGCUGGAGCUCAGCAAGUGUCCUCCCCUCCACCCCACUGUCACUCGGCCUGCCUCUUUGCUCACCCGGCGGAGCACACGAUGUAGGAAUACACGGCUCCCGGUACUCAGCAUCCACAGGCAUGUGGCCCAAGGCGU